UCCUCUUCUUUGUUUUUUUCUUCCGCCUCUUCUUCCUCAUUUCCUUUCUUUCUUCGUUUACUUCUUCUUCUUUGUUUCAUUUUUCUUCUUCUCUAGAGCAGCCAUUGUCUGCUUGUUCCAUUCGUGGUCGCCGAUUGAUGUCGGAGAUGAAAACCAAAGACACCAUUGUCACCGAUAGGAGCUUUCCGCCGAAAGAAAGAAGGAUAAGUUGUUCUUACCGUGUUCUUGAUUUUUAUUCCUUUUGUGUUCUGCUUCCUUGAAUAGCAACAAAUGCUUUGUUGAUAUCUAGUUCAAAUCUCAUGUUUUGAAAAUUAUUUAAUUAUAUGUUGUGUUGCUACUUUGGGUUAUUCUGAUUUUGUGCAAAAAAUAUGUUAUAGAUUAAAAUUGGAAAUUGAAAAAAUUCUGUUAGUUAGAGCUGAAUUCCAAGAUCCAAUCACACUUAUAUGGUUGAUUGAUGUGGGAUAUUUGUGGAGAAAACUCUGAGAUGAGGAUUGUGUAUGAUAAUCUAAGCAUUAACAUUUGAGUCACGUCUAGGAGAAUAACAUUACACACUGUAGAAAUGCAGUUGGUCCCGUAAGUAACAUAUACUUGCACUAUAAUUUUCUGCGAUUGAUUCGUGUAUGUAAAUGUAUGGAAUAAAAGAGUCAUUGGAGUUGUGCCGAUCUCACCAUCCUCACCUUGAAGUCUUCACUGCUUCUAAAUGGAAGUAUUUAUCCUUGCUAAUAUUAUAAUAUGAUACCAUGUUUUUUCAAAUAAUGUAUCUUAUAUUAAUAAAUCACUGCGGGACUAGAUUAUUGCAGGCGAAUUUUUUAUAGCCACUUAAAGACAUUGAAACCACAAAUGCCAACAAAAUUGUACUACACCCCGGAGAAUUGCUCUUAUGAACGAUCUGAUGUUUUAAAUAGUUAAGUUGCUAUUGUUAAUUGUUAGAAUGCAUUUGUAAUUAUGUUAGGAUUUUCUGUACUUGAGUAUGCUUUAGUUUCUACCGUCACUAGAUAAAUAGAGUUGAAUUGGAUAACAUGCUCUGGCACAGUUGCUCAUCUUAUCAGUUUAGUUUUAAAUUUUUUGUUGAUAUACAAUAAUGGUUGCAUUAAUUCUUGGUGAAAGUUAAUUGGAGGAUGAGUUGAUGAGCAAUGAAAAACUUUUUUUUGGCUUGUCUCAGGCUCUUCAGAAGUUCCCAAAAGAAACUGAUGAGUGUUGAAUGUAAAUAAUGGGGAAAAGACUUUCUAUGUCCCCAUGAUUCACUCUAAUAAAGUACUCUUGACACUUCUGCUUUAAGCAAAAGAAAGUUACUAAUGGAGUGUUGGCCCUUGAUAAUUCCAGAAAGAGAUGAAUCUUGAUCAAACUGCCUUAGAUGUUUUACCAUUAUUUUCAAAGGUGAUACCCUAGCCAUUGCUAAGGUGUAUGUUACAACUGUAAUAGUCCCGGAGACCGCACUUAUCCUUUCUAGUAAUGUUGGAGUGAAAAUUCUCGGUGAUGUAUGCGACGGAGAUAAUAUCAAGUAGAUUUACCAGGAUUUGGUUCGCCGCCCGUGAUUGCAUACACCAUGAUCCUGCACUCAACGAGCUGGGUCAUUCAUAGUUGUAUUUAUGAGUUGCCCUUAAGAUCGUUCUUACGUAUGAUAUCAGAUUUAUCUAUUUACGCAUUACUUUUUAGUUUUGUGUAUCGUUAUUUAGUAGGUUGUUAUGUUGGUGUACGGAUUGGUGUUUUCUUGGGAUGUUUUGUUAGCACCAUUGACGACUAAUACUUUAUUUUUGGCUGGACUAUGAAGAUCGUUGUAUUGAUGACCAUGUGUAGUAUUACUAUGGA